rnacentral:rRNA from 1 species
CCUGGCGGCGUGCCUAACACAUGCAAGUCGAACGAGGUCCAAGGAAGCUUGCUUCCUGAAGACCUAGUGGCGAACGGGUGAGUAACACGUGAGAAACCUGCCUCGGAGUGGGGAAUAACUCGGGGAAACUCGAGCUAAUACCGCAUACCUUCACAUGAUCGCAUGGUCGAGUGAAGAAAGAAUUUCGCUCUGAGAGGGUCUCGCGGCCUAUCAGCUUGUUGGUGGGGUAACGGCCUACCAAGGCAACGACGGGUAGCUGGUUUGAGAGAACGAUCAGCCACACUGGGACUGAGACACGGCCCAGACUCCUACGGGAGGCAGCAGUGGGGAAUCUUGCGCAAUGGGCGAAAGCCUGACGCAGCAACGCCGCGUGCGGGAUGAUGGCCUUCGUGGUUGUAAACCGCUUUCAGCAGGGACGAAAAUGACGGUACCUGCAGAAGAAGCCCCGGCUAACUACGUG